rnacentral:rRNA from 1 species
CCCUUAGAUGUUCUGGGCCGCACGCGCGCUACACUGAUGCAUUCAACGAGUCUAAAACCUGCUCUGAUAGGGGUGGGCAAUCUUUUGAAUGUGCAUCGUGAUUGGGAUAGAUGAUUGCAAUUUUUCAUCUUCAACGAGGAAUGCCUAGUAAACGCAAGUCAUCAGCUUGCAUUGAUUACGUCCCUGCCCUUUGUACACACCGCCCGUCGCUCCUACCGAUUGAAUGAUCCGAUGAAUAUCAUGGAUUGAGGAUUAUAGCAGGUUCGCCUGUCUUGAUCUUCGAGAAGUGAAGUAAAUCCUAUCAUUUAGAGGAAGGAGAAGUCGUAACA